rnacentral:rRNA from 2 species
UACGAGGGGGGCAAGUGUUGUUCGGAAUUACUGGGCGUAAAGGGAGCGUAGGCGGAUGUUUAAGUCGGGAGUUUAAAACCGGGGCCCAACCCCGGAGCGGCUCCCGAAACUGGAUAUCUUGAAUAGGUCAGAGGCUAGUGGAAUUGGAGGUGUAGCGGUGGAAUGCGUAGAGAUCUCCAAGAACACCUAUUGCGAAGGCAGCUAGCUGGGACCAUAUUGACGCUGAGGCUCGAAAGCAUGGGGAGCAAACAGG